GCUUUGGUGGACUAGUGGUUAGAGCGUCCGCCUCGGAAGGGGGAGGUCGUGGGUUCGAACCAAACCGAAUCAUACCAAAGAC